GGCCAGAGCUGGCCCGCCCAGGUGCUAUUUCCUGGCAUCCUCCAGAGAUGCUGGUACUCGAGGCUCCAAGAGAGCCAUACACACCUCAGGUCACAGCCCCAGUGCCACAGCGUGUCAGGGAAGAAAUGGGUGACGGCUGUUUUCUCCACGGGCUCCUUUCUCAUCCUGGCGACCAAGUACCAGACUGCCUCUCCAGUUUCUAGUCUCCACUGCUCUUUGCCCCGCUGGAACCCUUCUCUCACCCAAAUGCACAAUCCAGUGUCUUUCUGCCAGAUCCCCCUUCCCCUCGUGUAUCUCAGUUUCUUCACACAGCUGCCGGUACCCUAGGACCUUCGCCUGACUCUGAGUCCCCGCUGAGGCUCAGAGAGGAAGCCUGGUUACAAUCAUGUUACAUGUGUGUCCUGGAGACCGGUGUCUGGCCUUCCCUGGAGUGACAAAGACAGAGCUAUAUGUUCACCAAACCAUCUCAUUCCUCUCCCAGGCAUUUAGAAAAUGUAGGCUUGCGACCCCCUCACAUCUGCUGGCGCCGACAGAAGGGACCUUGGAGGCCACGUGCUGGAGACGGCAGAUGGCAGUGCCCACAGUGGACGGAACCUGGGUGCCUGAACCAUCAUGCCGAGAACCCUGCCCUCAUCCGAACGCACCUGUGAUACUAUGGUGUGGGAGAAGACUCUUCAGAGUCCCUUGGACUGCAAGGAGAUCCAACCAGUCAAUCCUAAAGGAAAUCAACCCUGAACAUUUAUUGGAAGGAGUGAUGCUGAAGCUAAAGUUCCAAUACUUUGGCUACCUGAUGCAAAGAGCCGACCCUGGAAAAGACCCUGAUGGUGGGGAAGAUUGAAGGCAGGAGGAGAAGAGGGCGACAGAGGAUGAGAUGGUUGCCAUUUCCUCCUCCAGGGUAUCUUCCCGACCCAGGGAUCGAACCCACUGUCCUGCAACCAAAUAAAUAAAAAUAGAUAUUAAGAAAAGACUGGUGAGAGAGCAAGUCGGGAGUAGACUGCACGGUGCAGGGUGAGCAGCCUGGUGCUCUGCUCCGCAGGGGCUCUGGCCAGAGGAAGGGCUUCAAACCCGGAGUGAGCUGGGGUUCCAACUCUGUGUCUACCACCUGGGGGACGUGGUGUGGCCAACUUAACCUCUGGACCUCAGCUUCCACAUCUGGGAAAUGGAGCAACAGCACUGAUGACGCUGCUCCCUGAAGGAUGCUCUGAGGGCCAAUAGGAAACACCAGGGCAGGUCUGCUCUGUAGGCUCCACGGCCUCACCGUGCUGCCCAACCCUUGUGGAGCCUCUGCUUUAAGACAGAACAUAGGUGUAUGCAUGAAAAAACAGUAAGUGUGUACACUGGCAUAUAUGUAUGUAUACAUGAAUACAUGUGUAUAUGUACAUAAAAUAUGUGUAUGUGUAUAUGCAAAAGGGCUUCCCUGGUGGCUCAGCUGGUAAAGAAUCCACCUGCAAGGCAGGAGCUGCAGGAGACACAGGUUCGAUCCCUGGGUGGGGAAGAUCCCCUGGAGGAGGAAAUGGCAACCCACUCCAGUAUUCUUGCCUGGGAAAUCCCAUGGACAGAGGAGCCUGGUAGGCUACAGUCUAUAGGGUCACAAGUGUCGGACACAACUUAGUAACUAUACGCCGCCCCCCCCCCCAUAUAUGCAAAGACAUACA
rnacentral:lncRNA from 1 species